UGGGCGGUAUCUACUUGAACUGCACCAACAUUAGAAAAAACACAUAAAAAUGGAUUCUGCCUAGAUCCGAUGUAUCGGACCGGGACAGAGGG
rfam:Bacillus sp. MTM 116 3, whole genome shotgun sequence.